UCUCCUGUAGCUCAGUGGUAGAGCGUCCGUACGGUGUGUUGAAGGUCAUAAGUUAUAUGUUCGACUCCUGUUGGGAGAG